rnacentral:rRNA from 1 species
UUGAAAGGGAAACGAUUGAAGUCAGUCGUACCAGCGGGAAAUCAACCUUUCGAGUGGUGUUUUGGAGUUUUGAAGUGUGUCAAAACCUUUGAGAUUUCAAAAUUUUCGCUCCUUUGGUGUACUUUCUCGUGGGUAGGUUAACAUCGAUUUCGAUCAUCAUAAAAGGAUUGGAGGAAUGUAGCUUCGAUCUUGUAUUGAAGUGUUAUAGCCUUUGGUAAAUGUGAUGAUUGGGAUCGAGGAUUGCAACGAAUACCCUUUUGGGCUAUCCGCCUGAUCUCUGAUACGUGGCCUUGGCAUCGAAAGCUUGCUUAUGGUAUCAAGGUAUUACGGUCAAAAGGUUAGAACGGAUUACAUUCGUUAAGGAUGUUGACGUA